ensembl:lncRNA
AUGGAUAUCCCAGGCGUCCGACUCCUAUGCCUGGAGCAACUGGACCGUUCGCUGGAGGACCAUACCAGGGACUUUUUCGAUCUGGCGUGCCUUACAGACUUCCCGGACCGCUCGCUCAGUGCGUUUUACUAUGCUGGCCUGAGCGAGCGGUGUAAGGCACGCCUCCCAGCGAACGGUCCCAGAGAGGAUUUCGCCGCGUUCGUGGAGUGGGUGCUGGAGCAAAACGGAUCUCCGUUCACCGUCUGCCCCGCUGAGGAGGAGAUCUCCAGCCCCACUCCCGACCCAGAGACCAGCCAGCCAUCACCCCGCUGCACGGAGCUAGAGACCGCCGCAGCCGCAGAGCCCGAGCCUAUCGCCGACAGGGAGGAGGAACUCGAGAGCGCGACUGACCAGGUGUGUGAGCCGGCAACCCCGUGCGUCGUGGGACGUUUGGUGGAGAUCGAGGGCGUGGAGGAGCGCCCCGCCCACACUCCUGCGACUGAGGGUGAGCUGCAUGUGGUUUCUGGGAAGUAUACAGAAGAAAUUAUGGAUCUAAUAGACUGGUUUGGGGAGGUUAUUCCUGAUCCUUCUGUUCCUUCGCUGGUUCUGUCCAGCCCUGAUCCUCCUGUGUUCCCUCCCAACCUCCCUCUCCCACCUCCUCUUCGACCUGUCAGUUCCUCUGCUCCUCUUCCGCUGGUUCCGCCCAGCCUCGACCCUCCUGUUUCUCCGCUGGUUCCGUCCAGCCCUGACCCUCCUGUUUCUCCGCUGGUUCCGCCCAGCCCUGAUUCUCCUGUUUUUCCGCUGGUUCCGUCCAGCCCUGAUCCUUCUGUGUUCCCUCCCAUCCUCCCUCUCCCGCCUCCUCUUCGACCUGUCAGUUCCUCUGCUCCUCUUCCGCUGGUUCCGCCCAGCCUCGACCCUUCUGUUUCUCCGCUGGUUCCGCCCAGUCCAGAUCCUUCUGUCUUUCCUCCCAUCCUCCCUCUCUCAUCUCGUCCUAGACCAGUCAGUUCCUCGUCCUCAUCCCCGCUGGUGCCAGUCAGUCCCGCAGCUCACCCUCAGUCCGCGCCAUCUGGGCGCGGAGUUUCGCCGCAGGACUUCCAGUCACCACCUCCACCUGGGCGUGUGGAUUCCCUGCCUCCGCCUCCAGCCUCCGAGUCCUGGACUCCUCCUCGGUCCUUCGACCCGGCGGCUCCGCCUUGGCUCCUAGCUCCCUCGUCUCCACCGUGGCCCGGCAUCCCACCUGCUCCACCGGGCUCCCUCGUCCCUCCGGCUCCACCUUGGUCAGUCGUCGACCAUCCGCCGCCUCGGGACUCCAUUCCUCUGGCUUCGCCUCGUCGCUCCAUCCCUCCGGCUCUGUCAGGCUCCUCCUUCCCUUCGGCUCCACCUCCAUCCUCAGUCACUCCGGCUCCGCAGCGGUCUUCCGGUGCCCCGCCUCCGCCUUGGUCGCCUGAGCCUUCUGCUCCGCCUUGGCCCUCCGGAUCCUCGGGGUCACCCUGGCUCUGCGGUUGCUCGGCUCCGUCUUGGACUCCUCUGCCAUCGGCUCAGUCUCCGUCAGUCGGCCCCCUGGUGUUGUCGGCCCCUCCUCCACCAUGGCUCCUCCCACCGUCGACUCCACCAUGGGCCGCUUUCCUGGCUGGCCUCUGGAUAUCCAUCUGGCUCCUACUGCUCCGGGCUCCUCCAUGGCUCCUCCCUCCAUCCACUCCACCCUGGUACCAUGCUCCAUGCUCCUUCUCCAUUGCCUGCCCCUUGCCUGCCCCACGCCCACCUCCUGAACCCCCACCCUCCCUCCGCUGGACUAUCUCUUUCGGUGCGAGGACGCACCGUUCCGGGAGGGGGCGAACUGUCACAGUCAUGGACUUUCUGUUCCUUUUCUGUUAUCCCUAUUUGGUCAUGUUCCGUUCCUCGUUUUGUUAAUUGAUUAAUCCCCACCUGUUUCCAUUCCCCUCAUUACUUUCCUUGUUUAAAAACCCUGUCUGUUCAGUUCCUUUUUGUCCGCUAUUGAUGUUUGAUGUUUAAUGUUCGACUAUUUGGAUUUGUGUUUGGAUGUGCCCUUUUCUCCUGUGAAUCAUUAAAAGAACUCUUUAUAUAUAUCUUCUUCCUCGUGCGCUUUACUCAGCACACCAGCCCGGGUGUGACAAUUAAGACUUACUCUAAUGCACGGCUCUUAUAUAAUGUCAGAUGUUUUCCCCCAACAAUUCCCCAAAUGUUCACUUAAGACGUAACAGAUCACUUAAAUACUGUAAUUAUGUGUAUUUGUCUAUAUUUAUGGGGAUUACGCAGUGUCGGAUGUGUCUUUAUGCGAGCGCUUUGAAUGACAGUCAGUGUGAGAAGCGAGCGGAGAAAAGCUAGGCUACUCCUCUCAGAAAACAUACGAAUAAAGAUAAUUUUAGGUGUUUAAUUACUAUGAGC